rnacentral:rRNA from 1 species
UACGAAGGGGGCUAGCGUUGCUCGGAAUCACUGGGCGUAAAGGGUGCGUAGGCGGGCCUUUAAGUCAGGGGUGAAAUCCUGGAGCUCAACUCCAGAACUGCCUUUGAUACUGAAGAUCUUGAGUUCGGGAGAGGUGAGUGGAACUGCGAGUGUAGAGGUGAAAUUCGUAGAUAUUCGCAAGAACACCAGUGGCGAAGGCGGCUCACUGGCCCGGUACUGACGCUCAUGUGCGAAAGCGUGGGGAGCAAACAGG